ensembl:lincRNA
GCAGGAGCUGUGCCGCUGAGCUAAAUCCCCACCACCAGUGUCAAAGAUAAGUAAAAUAAUUGAACGUGUGUGCUAGUAAAGACCAAAAAAAAAAAUAGUGAAAGUAGGUACACAAAAACGAUACAAGCGAGUCCACCCAAGUUGCUAAAGUAUGAAUAACAAAGAGAUGUGAACAUACCAAGCAAGGAAGGAUCAUAUUCUACUAAAACUAGAGAGGAUGGAAAAAGCUUACUUUUCCUGUUUAUUUGAAAUGCUCCAGAUUUUAAGGGGAGAGGGCAAGACUAUGGAUGCGGAACUGGAUGUUUAAGGCUGGCACGGUGACUAGGCAAUCAGAGAGCAGGACACAGCAGAAGUACGCAGGAUUGGGCUUUCAAGCCUUUGACACCAGAUGCCAAGAGUGCAACUACAGGCGUAUAAAAAUUGUCAUCAAAGGGUUUUGUUUCCGCUUGAGAAAUACUGUCUGCAUUUUGGAAAGAUCUUGUGAACCCCGUGACAGUUUGCUUGGGCCAAGGUGUUGUUCUGUCACUGGGACCGGCGGCACACAAGGAAGGCACACUGAAGGAGACCAAAGUACAACAAACAGGAUACCGUCCGCCAUUCCUCCUGGAAGUCAUCUGUGGAAAAGGCUGUUUUUCCUCACAUAAUAAUGAAACUAAGGAUUCAAAAGACAAAAAGUGGUGCAGAGAGGGAGUCUCUUUAAGUGGGAUGUUUUUCCUCUAUUUGAGCACCAAGGAAGGGGACAAGGGUAGGGAGCAAAGCUACUUAGGAAAGGAUCAUAAACCAGGUCAUGCUGUGUUACAGUAUGGUUAUUUGUGACACACUGUGUUCUCUGGUGUCUUGUAAAACUCACUAUGCUUUUUUCUCAUUUUUUCACUAAAGACCAUGAAAUUUUUAGUAUAUAAAAUAAAUGAAAGAGAAAUUCAAAACUGAUAAGCUAACUGAGUCAAGUGUAGUGCUAUUAGUAGAUAAUACACAGGACAACUUUCUUUGUGUGUAGAAAAUUGACAGAAUAUAGUUUUUUUUCUUUUUUUAACCCAAAAAAUUAUAAUCUAUUUCUAUGUGGGCAAGUCAUUUCUUUAACUCAAGCCUAAACUGCUUUGCAAAUUUGUAAUUUAAAAAGAUGCACUCAUUAACUCCAGUUCUUUGUAACUUUCAAUGCCUUCAAAGCUUCCUUACAUCCUACCACAUGCAAAUGGCAAAAUAAAAAAUAUAUAAGUAACAUGGGUGAGAUUUAUGAAUACUUGUUUGCUUACAGAAUAGAGACAUUAAGUCACCACAAUUUGUAAAGCAAGUGGUACUAUAAAUUCAAGAAAUAUACAAAUUUUUAUUAUAUAUUCAAGCAAAGGUAGAAAGAUAAAAUCCUCCCAAAAGGAUUUAAUGAAGCUACCAUCAAAGACAGAAAGAAGUCUUGGGAAAGAAAUACUAAAGAGAAACAUUUUGAGUAUAUAGCAACUAUAAAAAAUUAUAAAUAAAAAUCAAAAUAUUUGUAAAUAUUUAAUAUAUGUGUAUGUUUUAAAUAUGCAUCCAUACAUAUAUGUGUAUGUAUAUGCCCACGUUUAUUUUCAUCCUUUUUAAUGACUUUCAGUUUGAGAGCAACUGGCUUUCUCAAAUGUUGGUGGAAGAAUAAAUUGAUAUGAACUCUAUGGACUAGAGUUUGUCAAUAUAUGUAAUUCCAGAUAAAUGACCAUAUGGAUCAAUAGCUUUCCUCUUUUCUUAUAAAUAAUGGAAAUAUAUUCAUUACAUAGCGAUGAGCAUAUUCAUUGCACUAUUUUUUAUGUUAGUAAAGGAUUGAAAUAACCUCUAUGUCCUCCCCAAAUGAAUAGUGAAAUAGAUCAUAAUAUAGCAUUUUCAUGAAAUUCUGCAGCUGAUAAACUGAAUUCAAGGCAAUUUAGAUUUGUACGCAUAUGAAAAAAUACCCAAUAUACCUUGUUAAUUAAAAGACAGUGCAUCAGACUACACAGCUUCCAAUUCUUUGUGAAAAAUGCAAUUAUGUAAUAUGGAAAUAAAGACAGUAUUUCCAAAAGACAAUAUUAAUACUAUUUUCUCAUUGAAAUCCAUGUGUGAGAGUUGGAGAUGGAAUGUUAAUCGCGCAUUUUUAUUUUUUGUAUUUUAGAGCUCUGAGAUCUGGGACUUUGCCCACUCUGAAAAGACUGCUCCUUUCAAAGCAAUGAAUUCUGGGAGAUGGAAAAUGGCCUGUUGGUGAGCACACGUCUCAUAUGCCAACAAAUCCAUCCGUAACCCAUAAAUCCAUCACUUGCUUUGUCUAGCCAGUAGAGCUUAAAAAUAAGACUUAUGCCCAAGAACCCUGGGAAUUAUUAAAAUUAGCCAAGCCUCCAUGGCCUGUCUCCUUCCUAUGUCUUGCCAGGGUCUUGCCAUCUUAUCCCUUCGCUCCUGUCCACAUUUUGGGUGGUGAAUGACUCCCACAGGCCCAUGUAUUAAAGGCUUCAUCCUCAGCUUGGCAUUAACACGACAUAGCACAAACUUUACAAGAUGAGCCCCGGUGGGAGGCCGUUUUACUCACACUCCUCGCUGUUGGGGAAAAACACCAGACAUUGCAAUUUCAAAGAGGAGGGCUAUUUUGGCUCCCAGUUUCAAAGGUUUCAGUGCUUGGCUGGCAGGCGCCAGGCAGGAAGAGCAUCCUGGAAGGGCCAGCCAUGUGGAAAGCUGCUCACAUCAUGGGAGCCAGGAAGCAGGGAGUGCAGAGAGGAGCUGGAGAGGGAUGCGCCCUUCCUGGUCAUGUUCCCAGUGAUUGCCAUCUGUAAACCAAGCCUCCCUUCCUAAGGGGAAGGUCAGCGAUGAGCGCAUCACUGGGUUGAUCCACAGCAUGACUAUUCUCCGAUUAUCUCCCGGAAGUCCCACUUCUGAGCUCACAAGGCUUUGGGGGAUGCUUCAGAUCUAAGUCUCAACAGUCUGCACAUGUUGUGGUGUGACGCUGCUCCUGAGAGCUGGAAAAACUCAAGAAUUGCAGCAUCGGUUGUCUCCUGAUGCAUUAGUAUCUCUAGAACUAAAUAGUAACAGUAAUAAUAAUAAUAAUAAUAAUAAUAAUAAUAUUUAAAGUAUGGCAGGGAAUUGGAUGUCUUUUAUAAUUGUAUGAAUAUUUUCACACUUGUGAAUGUCAUCUAUAUAAAAUAAACAAGGUAUACAAAAGAUGCAGGUAAAUAUCAUUACAGAAUCUCAGCAACCUCUCACAUAUCUGAAUGGUAGCCAAAAUGUGAGAAUAAAUGUCUACUGUUACAUAAAGGAAAAGAAAAGAAUAUGUCUUGGGAACAACUCAGCAUCAAAUGUUAAACUAUAGCUAUAAUAAAUCACAAGCAGCUAAUGCAUCUUUGCCAAUAAAAAUAGAAACUUUUUCCAUGAAGAAAAUGAGCACAGGAAAAAGCUCUGAAUAAGUGGAAAGAUAUACAUUUCUUACAUGUGUUUAUUUAUCAUUUAAAGAAAACAAUAUUUCCAUGCCCAUGAAAAAUCCAAUGCACUGCCUGUUAAAGUUCUUAUCAGUUGCUUUAACUCCAUAAGAAAGUUGGAGGGUUCAAAGCUAGCCACGCCAUAUUUAAAUAAGAUUAAGGAAAACUCUCAGUAUUCAACCUUGAGAAUUGCAACACGGACUACUUAAAAUGGUGUAUGGGAAUACAAUGAUGGAUUAAUUAAAGGAUUAAUUAAAGAAGGAAUUUGAAUGUAAUGAUGGAUUAGUUAAAGGAUUAAUUAAAAAAGAGUCUAAAACAUAUUUGUAAGGAGAACUGGAGUUUAAAUCAUUAAUAUCAGCAGGAAAGACAGUGCUGUAAGGGAAAGUCCUUAUCAAUGGAGAGCUGGAAGAAAAAUUAACUAUCUCAUAUUUGUUAGGAACAGAUUCCUGGAAUUUUGAAUCAAAUAUUGUAACUUUUAAAGUUUUAGAGGUUAAUAUUUGUAAAUAUGUUGAUGAUACUUGAGUUUCAUGAACUAUAAAGGAAAAGUAAAAACAAUUCUGACUUACUAGACCCAGCGUCCUCCCAUGUCCUAGAAUUAAAUUGUUCAGCUAAUUUAAGUUUCAAAAGAUCACGACCACUGUUCUAAAAACAAUUUAACUUAAUGUGAAAUACUUCUGAUUUGAACAAAAUUUUCAUAAGGAAAGGAAACAAGGCAGGAUUUUCUGAAUUUUAUAGGUGAGUAACUGAGCUACAGAGAAGAGAUUAAACUAUUUCCCUACCUGUGUGUAUUUAGGUUAUACUUUAAAAAUCAGAUAUAGACUAAAACUUAUAUUUUACUGAGCAGAAUAAUAUUUUCCAAAACUAUACCUGCCUGAAAGAGAAUGGAAAAAGGAUUCAAUCAUCAUAAAACAAAGAAAGGUGCCUCAAAUUUAAGAAUAUAAAAAUUGAUGACCCUCAUAUAUUCUGGUAUAGAGCAAAAUUUGAAUUCAGAGUAAAAUAUGAAUAUUAUGACUGCAUUUCCCACCCAAUCAUUUCAAGUUUGCUUUAGAACCAGCAUAAGAGACCUCAUAGCAAUGUUGAUAAGACAGACCUCUGUACACAGAAAACCUUCAAAGCAAAAUCUGCUGCAAUAAUUUAUUAAAAUAUAUAAUAGACUUGGAUUGUACCUGCAUUGUCUAGAGUCAGGAAGUCUCUUCCAUGUGUAUUUUACCUCUUUAAUUCAAUCAGAGGACCACAAAUAACCUUUACCAAAGGACAGGAUUAUUGAAGCUCUUAAAACUGUUUAAAGGAACACAGAGGCCCUCCUGUACUGACUUUCCC